rnacentral:rRNA from 1 species
CUUUUAUGGAGAGUUUGAUCCUGGCUCAGAGUGAACGCUGGCGGCGUGCCUAAUACAUGCAAGUCGAACGAUGAAGCUUCUAGCUUGCUAGAAUGCUGAUUAGUGGCGCACGGGUGAGUAACGCAUAGGUUAUGUGCCUCUUAGUUUGGGAUAGCCAUUGGAAACGAUGAUUAAUACCAGAUACUCCCUACGGGGGAAAGAUUUAUCGCUAAGAGAUCAGCCUAUGUCCUAUCAGCUUGUUGGUAAGGUAAUGGCUUACCAAGGCUAUGACGGGUAUCCGGCCUGAGAGGGUGAACGGACACACUGGAACUGAGACACGGUCCAGACUCCUACGGGAGGCAGCAGUAGGGAAUAUUGCUCAAUGGGGGAAACCCUGAAGCAGCAACGCCGCGUGGAGGAUGAAGGUUUUAGGAUUGUAAACUCCUUUUGUUAGAGAAGAUAAUGACGGUAUCUAACGAAUAAGCACCGGCUAACUCCGUGCCAGCAGCCGCGGUAAUACGGAGGGUGCAAGCGUUACUCGGAAUCACUGGGCGUAAAGAGCGCGUAGGCGGGAUAGUCAGUCAGGUGUGAAAUCCUAUGGCUUAACCAUAGAACUGCAUUUGAAACUACUAUUCUAGAGUGUGGGAGAGGUAGGUGGAAUUCUUGGUGUAGGGGUAAAAUCCGUAGAGAUCAAGAGGAAUACUCAUUGCGAAGGCGACCUGCUGGAACAUUACUGACGCUGAUUGCGCGAAAGCGUGGGGAGCAAACAGGAUUAGAUACCCUGGUAGUCCACGCCCUAAACGAUGGAUGCUAGUUGUUGGAGGGCUUAGUCUUUCCAGUAAUGCAGCUAACGCAUUAAGCAUCCCGCCUGGGGAGUACGGUCGCAAGAUUAAAACUCAAAGGAAUAGACGGGGACCCGCACAAGCGGUGGAGCAUGUGGUUUAAUUCGAAGAUACACGAAGAACCUUACCUAGGCUUGACAUUGAGAGAAUCCGCUAGAAAUAGUGGAGUGUCUGGCUUGCUAGACCUUGAAAACAGGUGCUGCACGGCUGUCGUCAGCUCGUGUCGUGAGAUGUUGGGUUAAGUCCCGCAACGAGCGCAACCCCCUUUCUUAGUUGCUAACAGGUUAUGCUGAGAACUCUAAGGAUACUGCCUCCGUAAGGAGGAGGAAGGUGGGGACGACGUCAAGUCAUCAUGGCCCUUACGCCUAGGGCUACACACGUGCUACAAUGGGGUGCACAAAGAGAAGCAAUACUGCGAAGUGGAGCCAAUCUUCAAAACACCUCUCAGUUCGGAUUGUAGGCUGCAACUCGCCUGCAUGAAGCUGGAAUCGCUAGUAAUCGCAAAUCAGCCAUGUUGCGGUGAAUACGUUCCCGGGUCUUGUACUCACCGCCCGUCACACCAUGGGAGUUGUGUUUGCCUUAAGUCAGGAUGCUAAAUUGGCUACUGCCCACGGCACACACAGCGACUGGGGUGAAGUCGUAACAAGGUAACCGUAGGUGAACCUGCGGUUGGAUCACCUCCUUUCU